rnacentral:rRNA from 1 species
GAUGAACGCUGGCGGCGUGCCUAAUACAUGCAAGUCGAGCGAACAGACGAGGAGCUUGCUCCUCUGACGUUAGCGGCGGACGGGUGAGUAACACGUGGAUAACCUACCUAUAAGACUGGGAUAACUUCGGGAAACCGGAGCUAAUACCGGAUAAUAUAUUGAACCGCAUGGUUCAAUAGUGAAAGACGGUUUUGCUGUCACUUAUAGAUGGAUCCGCGCCGCAUUAGCUAGUUGGUAAGGUAACGGCUUACCAAGGCAACGAUGCGUAGCCGACCUGAGAGGGUGAUCGGCCACACUGGAACUGAGACAGGGUCCAGACUCCUACGGGAGGCAGCAGUAGGGAAUCUUCCGCAAUGGGCGAAAGCCUGACGGAGAAACGCCGCGUGAGUGAUGAAGGUCUUCGGAUCGUAAAACUCUGUUAUUAGGGAAGAACAAAUGUGUAAGUACCUAUGCACGUCUUGACGGUACCUAAUCAGAAAGCCACGGCUAACUACGU